AGCAGUGAGGGAUUUGGGGCUGUAUUUUGGGCACCAGCGCAUGGCGUAAUACUCGUUUUUCACCCGCGGAAAGUUUAAUUUGGUAUUUUGCACGUUUAUUUUUUAAGCAUUGCGCCCAGGGGUGUGG